UUGUGUGCUGUGACGAGGCAAUUUUGUGGAUUAGAGUUUCUGAUCUGGGAACUUACCCAGAAGUUGAUUAUCAAACCCUUGGCUGUCUGAGCAUACCU
rfam:Glycine max cultivar Williams 82 chromosome 12, whole genome shotgun sequence.